CCCCCUAGUUACACCCAGCAUCCCAGCCAGACCCACCACCCCACGAUGCACCUCUUGUCUGUUCCUCUUCCUCCAUGCAAUGCAAGUAUGCAACGCAACGCAUCUUCUGUUUGCUAGCCGCCGCUCCCAACACGUCGCUAUCGCCGGCCUCUUCGGGUUCGGAAGCUUCCACGCCUCGGCAUGCGCGCUCCCGACGUCAUGCUCGUCCCGGCGAUCGUCCUGACUUGCCGGUUCCUCUGCAGGAUUUGAAACCGGGUUAGAAGCUGAAGCUGAAGCUGAAGCAGGGACUGAGACAGCAGCACAGUCUUUGUUUCGGCAGGAAUGAUAUGUGCAUCUACGUUGCUCACUGGGGGAAUAGGACUUGUGUGGUUGCUUUUGCUGAAAGAUUAUAGCAUAUCAUCAUAGGGGAAUGUGGGAGUGGUGAGGGAAAAAGAGCGCAUGGCAUCUUUUGCUCAUAUGCGUCGUCUCCCUUUGUUUUUUCUUCCCUCUCCCUGCGUUUUAUCCGUUAUCAUUUAUUUUAUAUUAUUAUGAAAAGUAUUGUUUUUUC